AGCGAACGCUGGCGGCAGGCCUAACACAUGCAAGUCGAACGAAGCCUUCGGGCUUAGUGGCGGACGGGUGAGUAACACGUGGGAACGUACCUUUUGGUUCGGAAUAACGCAGAGAAAUUUGCGCUAAUACCGAAUGAGCCCUUCGGGGGAAAGAUUUAUCGCCGAAAGAUCGGCCCGCGUUGGAUUAGGUAGUUGGUGUGGUAAAGGCGCACCAAGCCUACGAUCCAUAGCUGGUCUGAGAGGAUGAUCAGCCACACUGGGACUGAGACACGGCCCAGACUCCUACGGGAAGCAGCAGUGGGGAAUCUUGCGCAAUGGGCGAAAGCCUGACGCAGCCAUGCCGCGUGAAUGAUGAAGGUCUUAGGAUUGUAAAAUUCUUUUACCAGGGACGAUAAUAACGGUACCUGGAGAAAAAGCCCCGGCUAACUUCGUGCCAGCCGCCGCGGUAAAAC
rnacentral:rRNA from 1 species